rnacentral:rRNA from 1 species
UACGUAGGGUGCGAGCGUUGUCCGGAAUUAUUGGGCGUAAAGAGCUCGUAGGCGGUUUGUUGCGUCGGCUGUGAAAUCCCGAGGCUCAACCUCGGGUCUGCAGUCGAUACGAGCAAACUAGAGUGUUGCAGGGGAGACUGGAAUUCCUGGUGUAGCGGUGAAAUGCGCAGAUAUCAGGAGGAACACCGGUGGCGAAGGCGGUUCUCUGGCAAUGUUCUGACGCUGAGGAGCGAAAGUGUGGGGAGCGAAACAGG